rnacentral:rRNA from 1 species
AGUGAACGCUGGCGGUAGGCCUAACACAUGCAAGUCGAACGGCAGCUCAGUAAGAGCUUGCUCUUACGGGUGGCGAGUGGCGGACGGGUGAGGAAUACAUCGGAAUCUACUUUUUCGUGGGGGAUAACGUAGGGAAACUUACGCUAAUACCGCAUACGACCUACGGGUGAAAGCAGGGGAUCUUCGGACCUUGCGCGAUUGAAUGAGCCGAUGUCGGAUUAGCUAGUUGGCGGGGUAAAGGCCCACCAAGGCGACGAUCCGUAGCUGGUCUGAGAGGAUGAUCAGCCACACUGGAACUGAGACACGGUCCAGACUCCUACGGGAGGCAGCAGUGGGGAAUAUUGGACAAUGGGCGCAAGCCUGAUCCAGCCAUACUGCGUGGGUGAAGAAGGCCUUCGGGUUGUAAAGCCCUUUUGUUGGGAAAGAAAAGCAGCAGGUUAAUACCCCGCUGUUCUGACGGUACCCAAAGAAUAAGCACCGGCUAACUUCGUG